CCAGACUCCUACGGGAGGCAGCAGUGGGGGAUAUUGCACAAUGGGGGGAACCCUGAUGCAGCGACGCCGCGUGGGUGAAGAAGCGCCUCGGCGCGUAAAGCCCUGUCAGCAGGGAAGAAAAUGACGGUACCUGAAGAAGAAGCCCCGGCUAACUACGUGCCAGCAGCCGCGGUAAUACGUAGGGGGCAAGCGUUAUCCGGAUUUACUGGGUGUAAAGGGGGCGCAGACGGCGAUGCAAGCCAGGAGUGAAAGCCCGGGGCCCAACCCCGGGACUGCUCUUGGAACUGCGUGGCUGGAGUGCUGGAGGGGCAGGCGGAAUUCCUGGUGUAGCGGUGAAAUGCGUAGAUACCAGGAGGAACACCGGUGGCGAAGGCGGCCUGCUGGACUGCAACUGACGUUGAGGCCCGAAAGCGUGGGGAGCAAACAGGAUUAGAUACCCUCGUACA
rnacentral:rRNA from 1 species